AAUGUCUGUGGUAGGCUCCAGCGCUCGGUGUGUGCCCGCCAGCUGGCAUGGGUGGCUUCACCUUCACGGGGGCUCGCUUCCCAUGGUCUACCUGGCCAGGGUCCCCGCCAUACGAUUCUGAAGCUGUUUGCAAUAUUGUCAUGCCUUUGUUUUUUUGGUCCAAAUGAGUGGUUUUUUUGAGGGUGGGGGAGGCAGAAGAGGAACUAUUGAAUUGUGGUAUCGCUCAAUUUCUCAAAUCAGUCUAGGUACAUUUUUAAUGGCUGUGGAAUGCAGGUGUCCUGUUGAUGGUCGAGAUGUUAUUAAUUACAAUUCUAAACGUGUAGCAAUCGCUCGCUGUGUGGCGUUCAGUGGUUAUGAAAUAUCUCCUUUCCUCUUGUGGGACAUGAUUAGAGUCAUACAAAUUAAAUGUCGGUGGAAAGAAGAAAAACCUGACUUGCUGUAACGCUUUCCUUAAUAAUCCAUUACUGUGUAGUUAGUUCCUGGGUUCAGGGCUGAGGAUUCUUACACAAUGUCAAUUGAAAGCAAAAACACACUACAAGUUAAACCUGAAGUUAAACUGUGCAGUACUCGUUCAGUAUGUUAGUAUUUUGUGAACAGUGCAGAUUUGAAUAAUUGUAAAAAGACAAACUGGGGCAUAAAAUCACCAGCCUGAUUCUUCCCCAGCACUGUAGUUGCAGUUAAUUUUUUGAACCUCUACUUCUGUUUUGCUUGCUUGUUAUGCUUGCUACCAACUUGUCCCAUGGCUACCAGGCCAUGACUGUUUUUGCCAACUUGCCACUAUUCCAUCAUGCUUUCUGAAGGGUGGAAUAUCGCUGCUUUCUGAUCCUGCUUUCACUGCUCUUGAAUCUUAGCAGCAUUAGUUGCUGCUGAUCAGAAAUGUUGAUUUACUAGCCAUAUGCUACUUACCUAAGGAAUUACUAUGUUAUGUUAAUAGCAAUUAGUAAACCCUUAAAAAUGAACUUACUGUAUCUUGAGUGUUAGUAGUCCCGAUAACUGCAAUCUGUUGUUUGACCUAGAGAGGACAUUAACUCCUGCGUUUCUUGGGACCCUGCAGACAGUAGUGUGUAUUAGAGGAUGAAAUCCUAGAAAGAACUAAGAACAAUAAUCGGGUGUUGAACAGUUGUCUAGAACUGAUACACUUCAUGUAACAGUGAAUUAUCAGUGGAACUAUACAUAUACAAGCAUUUCUAGGAACUUGGCACACAUGUCAAAGUGCACUUGUUAAGUUUCAUAGUUGUUAGGGUCUGAAGGGACCUUAAUAGAUCAUCAAACUGGACUCCCUGCCCUGGGCAGGAAAGAGCACUGGGGUCAUAUAACCCCAGCCAGGUACUUGUCCAGUCUCCUCUUAAAGGCCCCCAAGGUAGGGGAGAGUACCACCUCCCUCAGAAGCCCAUUCCAGAUUCUGGCAACCCUUACUGUAAAGAAGUUCUUCCUGCUGUCCAAACUAAAUCUGCUUUGUCAAUUUGUGGCCGUUGUUCCUGGUUAUUCCAAGGGGUGCCCUGGUAAACGGAGCAUCUCCUAUUUCUUUGCUGCCCCCCCCCCCCCCCCCAAUUAAUUUGUAAAUGGCCACAAGAUUCCCCUCUCGGCCUUUUCUUGUGGAGGCUGGAGAGAUCGAGGUCCCUCAGUCUCUCCUCGUAGGGUAGGGCCUUACCUGCAGGCCCCUAACCAUAUGAGUGGCCCUCCUCUGGACCCUGUCCAGGUUAUCCACAUCCCUCUUGAAGUGCGGCACCCAGAACUGGGCACAGUACUCCAACUGUGGCCUGACCAAUGCGACAUAGAGGGAAAGUAUCACCUCCCUGCACCUGUUCGUGAUGCAUCUGCUAAUGCAAGAUAGAGUGCAGUUAGUUUUACUGAUUACUUUGUCACAGUGGUGGCUCAUGUUCAUCUCGGAGUCAGCUAUGACUCUGAGAUCCCUUUAUGCUGCUGUGCUGCUGAGAAGGUCCUCCCCCAACCUAUAGGUGUGUUGGUGAUUCCUUCUCCCUAGGUGCAGCUCUUUGUACUUGUCUUUGUUGAACUGCAUCCUAUUCUUUACUGCCCACUCUUCCAACUUGUCCACGUCUGACUAGAUUUGAUCCCUUCCCACUAGUGUUAGCUUUACCCCAUAACUUCGUCUUAUCCAUGAAUUUAGACAGAGUGCUCUCCACGCCCUCGUCCAAGUUGCUGAUGAACACAUUGAAUAGCACAGGUCCAAGGACCGAGCCUUGGAGGACCCCACUACCUACAUCCUUCCAAGUCAAUACCAAUCCGUCUACCACCACUCUGGGUGUGACCCUUAAGCCAAUUUGCCACCCACCUGACCAUGUAAUCAUCUGUCACGUCGCUCAGUUUGUUUAUGAGAAUAGGAUGAGAUACCAUAUCGAAGGCCUUCUUAAAAUCCAAGUAGAUGACAUGUUUCUGUGCUUGUAUAGCUCACUAUUAUGCAAAAACACACUUAUCAGGCAUUUAACCAGCAAAAUAGCCACUUUUCCCCUCCACUAGUAUAUAACCCUUUUUAACUCUUUGUUACAAUUUACUGUACAGCCUAUUGCAUUUUAUUUGCAUACAUAUCAUAAAUAUGUUUUAUUGAUUUGUACAGUAUUUCUAUCCUAUAUGUUAAAAAAAAGUUCUUGUAGCAUAUGUACAAAUGAAAAAAGAAACAGUACUUCAGAAUGGGAAAUCAGAUAAGAAGUACAGGGUCUAUUUUUACAAAUUCUUACUCAGAAGUAGUUAAGUGAAAUUAGUGCCAAUCUGAAUUUACAUGCUUGAUCCCUUAAAUAUUAUGAUUCAAGAAUGCUAUUUAAUUUAAAAUAUGGCUUUUUAAAAUAUUUGGCUGAAAGGGACUUUAAAUACUACAACAAGACAUCAGAGAGAAUCCCAAAUGCAUCUUCAAAAUCGUGACUGUGUAAACAAAACAAGUUAGUUCGGCAGCGCUAAGUUCUGAGUACUUGGGGUUGCAAUAAUUCUGAGGGAGGUUUGUUGUUUUGCAUAUAGCACACUCCUGUGUAUAAUACUCGCCUGUUAUUUUGAAGGGGAGCCUGCAGGGGGGGAAAAGAGUCUUUUAUUAAGGUAAGUGAAUCUGUAGCUACACACCAGGUUUGACCCUGUGCUCUGCCUCUGGGACCGCGUGCUGAGCCUGAGACCAUGUCCUAUGUUGGACCCCAUGUAUUGCCUCCAGGUCUACAUGCCGAGCUUGGGAUGGUGCGUUGUGUUCAGGAUGGACCCAGCACAUGGCUCUAGAGCCAGUGCAAAGUCCAAGGUUUGGUGGAUAGCCCCAAGGCAGCACAAUGGGUCAGACCCAGCAUAUGGCUCUGGAGCCAGCACACGGCUCCAAAUCUGGCAUGCAGUCUCAGACUUGGUGUAUGGGGUCAGACCUGGCAUUCCCGGUCCCAAGCCAUGUGCUAGAUUGGACCUAGUGUGCUGAGUCUGGCCAUGUGCUAAUCUCGUGCUCCAGACCAAUCCAGCAUGGUUGUGGGGGGGGAGCUUGCUGUUGGUCCCAAAACUUGGAGAUGAAAAGUGUGGGGAGGGAGCCUCCCCACUACCCCCUCCCCAUCCUGAUUAUCAAAUUUCCAGAUUGGUAGAGAUCCCUUUUUCUUGCCUAAAAUGCAUACCCCAAUUUUUCCCCAACUGGUUUUAGGGGGAAAAAUGCAAGAAAAUGGGUUAUAUGCGAGAAAAUGGAAUAUAACUAACUUUUUAGAUUCUUAAAUUGGUGUAGCUCUUGUGUAACACAUAGUCAAAGCAAAAAUACUUGUAAUAUAUUCAGAGCUCUAGUAAAUAUCUUAUUAGGUGGAAUUCAUGAAUGGCUAACUGAUAUAGAUUCAUAAAGAAAUAUUGAGUUGCUCUUAGAAAAUAAGUUAUUUUUCCAUAUGAAUAGCCUGUAUAAAAGUAUUGUUUUGUGACUGCAUGUGUUAAUAUGAAUUGAAAGAUAUCACAUUUUUGCAGCCACACUAGCUUGUUUGAUAUCUAAAAAUGCAAAUAUGAAAUUAUGAACUUGCUUCCAUAUUUCUUUUUCUCUUUCAGUGUUAAAAAAGAACUCUUGGGGAUGCAUUUGGCUCCAAAUUUAAGUGUAUUUGUAGUUUGAUUUUUGUGAAAGUUUCCUAAAUGAACAAAGACCAGCAGUAUAACUUAAGUCCAGUGGAAUUAAAAAAACAAAAUAAAAAACCUUGAAAUAACCUAACAUAGUGUUUGGAAGUCCAGGUUGUGUGAUACUUCUUGUGUAGGGGUUCUCAAAAUCCUGGAUGGUCAACAGGCAACCCAGCUCACAUGCUUCACACUCAUCUUCCUUAAAUUUCUGCAGAAUUAAACACUGCUUAAUUUACUCUCUUAACUUACUGCAUGAAACCUUAGUUAGUAAGCAGUUGCUUUAGUUAGUAGAUGCCUAUUAUGCAAUCUGAGAUGAGAAGGGAAGUGUUUAUCUUAAUCUUAGGAAAAGUGGCUGAGUCAAUUUAUGAAUUUCUGUUUCAUGCUAUUGAAACACUUGAGAAAACAAAAAUGUAAAAUUAAAAUGGACUGGUAACUGACUUAACAACAUUUCCAUGCUCUAAGUUGGUUUAAAAUUCUUAAAGUGGUGGAAAAAGUGUGAUUACCUAAAAAGAUUUUAUCUUCUUAAAAAACAAACCAAAAACUAUUACUCUUUAAUUUGUUAGCUGUUAGGUUAUCAAGUGAAGAUGCAAUUGUAUGGACUAUUGACAAGCGAGUAAGUAUCAGUGCAGCUGGGUACUGCUGUUUUAACUCUAGAAGUCUUGAGUACAGUUUUAGUUUCUUUUUCUUUUAAAACUUACUCCAUUGGUUAGAUUUAAAAACUUGAAAAUCACACUGCCUUUAAAAUAUUGUACUUCAUUCUAGUUAUAAAUAACACUUAAUCACUACUAAAGAAAGCUGGUUUUUUGAGGCUGUUUAUUUUGAACAUAAAGCAUUAUCAAAUGGAUGGUCAAUUUCAGUUCCUGUUUUGUGCAUUAACAUGGCAUCAGUCUUGUGCUCUGGGGUGAACUUCUGGGCAGAGUCUUCUCCUGAUACUGUGAUAGAAGCUCUGCUGUUCCAAACAAAUAUUUUAUUUUUUAAUUUUGAGGCAAGAAAAUGGUGGGUAUUGAUCCAUUCAUUUUCUAUCCCCAAAACCUGUGACUGAAAGGCAAUUUCUGGGUCAUCAAGCCUAGACCCCUGCUGUCAAAGGCAACCAAAUCAUAUAAUCCCUUCCUUUCAUAAAUAGGUCACGGAUGGAACUGGAACAUAGGGGCAGAGGAACCCUGCAUGCAGUUGAGGGACAGUGAGGUGUUCAUGUAUUCUCUUAAAUUCCCCUGGAAGUCCUGUGUAGCAGUUAAGAAGUCAGGACACCUUGUUUCAGUUUUUCUAAAGAGAUGGGUAGGUCUGAGAUGUGAAAGAAAGGGUAUGCCCAGGUAUGUUUGUUGUGAACAAUAGCAACACUAAAGAAACUUUUGACUUUUAACAAGGACCAAUAGUUCAAAGGGUGUUCUGGGCAAUGGAAUAGCUGAUAGAUUAUGUGCCAACAUUUUGUUACUGGUUUUCAGGAAAACAGAGUUACGAGACAUACAAUUAAAGCAUAGCCUUUAUUGUUUCAAGUUCUUUUUGGACUCUUAACUAUAGCACUGCCUCAGUUCACACUUAAAUCAUGUUCUUAACAUUUUUUGCGAUUUUAAAUGCAGAAAUGUAGAUUCUGAAACAUGAUUUACUGACAGCAAAUUACAUGAUCCUCAAAUCAUAGGUUACACAUAGUUUUAUAUGCUGACCGAAGUAGCGCUAGAUAGGAGUUCUCAGCAACCUCUAGUUAAGUACGCUCUCUUUACUAAACUACCUUCUGUAUUACUUUCUCUAUGAUGAAUCUACUCUAAUCCUAUGCAUUUUACAAAGUCAAUGGUAAUUUUUAAAUGCUACAGAUUUAGUUGGACUGAAAAUAACAAAAAUGAAGUCAGUAUCUGGAGAGAGGCUUUUUGAAUUUAAUUUUUGAUUUAUCACUUGUAUGUCAUUGACUUAGUUUCCUCAGACUUCACUUUAAACAUUUCAAGUUUGGGGGUAAUUUCUUGGCUUCCCAUUAUGACCUGCAUUGCCUUGGGUUAGGGUUACUGUUCUGAGCACUUUAAAACAAUCUAGCUCUGUGGCUUUACUCUUGAAGCAUUUGUUCAAAUAUUAUAAUAAUCUUACUGUCAGGCUUGCCAUCUAUACAGUGCUUCAGGGAGACUUCCAGUUUCAAUCCCUGCCUUCAGGAAUUCUGGAACAUGAUUCACAGAAGUUUAGGGCUGGAAGGGACCUCAUGAGAUCAUCGGGUCCAGCCCCCCUGCGCUGGGCAGGAAAGAGUGCUGGGAUCAAAUAACCCCAGCAAGGUGUACAUCCAGUCUCCUUUGGAAGAUCUCCAGGGUAGGCGCCUGCAUCAGCCCCCCUGAAAAUCUAUUCCAGAAUCUGGUCACAUGGACUGUGAAGAUGUUUUUCCUUAUAUCCAGUCUGAUAUCUUCAAGGAGUUCAUAACCAUUGCUUCUGGUUUUUCCCUGGGGUGCUUUAGUGAAUAGUUGUUUGCCUAGCCCCUAUUAUGCGUUUAGGCCAAAACAUAAUAUUAAUCUAGUUUUUAAAAACAAGGUCUUUUUUAUAACUACAUUUGUGGUAACUGUCAUUGGAGCCAAGUUCAUUGUUAUAGUUGUCCAAAUAGUAGCUAGAAACAUUUGUUGCCUUCUUUAGUCUGUCAAAAGAUCUAAAUUUAAAAAGGGAAUUAAGUGUAUUUUCUAUACAGAUGACUAAAGAUUUAAGUGUGUGUGUGUGUGUGUGUGUGUGUGUGUGUGUGCGUGUGUGUGUGUAUAUAUAAUUUCACACAAAUUACAUUCAAAGAAUGUUCAGGUUGCGAAAUUUGGUACUCAAAGGUUAGGAAAUUCCCUCAUAGGCAACUUUGAUUAGUCCUUCUUGCUUAUUGUAAUGUGUGUGUUUUUUGUUUUUUGGUUUUUUUUUUGUUCGUUUUCUAUGAGAACCCUCCCUCUUCCAGUCCAUAGAAUGAAUAGUACUCGCUGAAUAAGCUGUUACUCAAUAUUUUGUUUUCCGCUGCUAUGGCCCCUUGUGUCCCUACCUGCAUACUUUUUAAAUCCUUCCUUGAAAGUAGUAUUCAUACAUUUUUCUCAUGGGCUUCUCUAUAAUGCUCAGUACUAUUUAUGCAGCCCUUAGAUACUGUACUAAUCACCUUAUUUGCUCAAUACUUUAAUGAGGUGGUGAUUAUUAUCUCAAUUUUAAAGAUGGAGAACUGUGAUACAGAGAAAUAAAGGCCAAAAGUGUCCACUCAGUUUGGAUACCCAGUUCGAUUAUCGGUCCAUUUAAGCUUGUGAAAAUACUGCAGUGAUGGAUCUUAUCAUAGACCAGUGGUGCUCAACUUCUAGCCUGUAAAGCCACAUCAUCUGGCCUGUGGGUCUUCCCACAGAUCUGGAAAUUUGGCAGCACUGGCAACAUUAAUUGCUGCUCCCCAGCUGCCAAAUUUCCAACCCUGUGAGGAGCCCUGUGGACUAGAUGACAUUGCCCUAUGAGCUAUAUCGUGCUGGUGGAUUGUGGUGGGGGGUCAACAUAUGGGAUCACUGUGCAGCUGGAUCCAGCAUGUGGGACUGGGCUAGAGCACUAGAUUGCAUGCACAGGUGAACCUCAUGCACCAACCCUGUGCUGGGAUUUGCCCUGCAAAUCAACCCCAAACCACUCAUUAAGACCACUGGGCCAGAAGGGUGAGCACUACUGUCAUAGAUAGUACAGUAUUUCUGCAUCCUAGGUCUUAGAAACUCAAAGUUGCCACACACAGGAUGAAGAAUACUUAACAAAUGGCUUGAGCAUUUUUGAUGUAGGUGAGUUCCUUAAUAUUUCAUUGGGCUAUUUUGGCAGAAGGAGGAAUAAACUCCAGUUAUUCAGGAAGUAUUCAGCUGCCUUAAUCAUUUUUGAUUAAGCAAGGAUUUUUGUUAAUAUCUUUUAUUGGAUCAAUGAAUAGUUGGGAAGAGAUGUUACAACCUGCUUUUUAGGCUCUCCCCAAGUUCUGGGAACCAUGAGACUAUCCUUUCUCUUCAGGUAGUUCCUAGGUCGUUUUUUACUCUAGAACAAAUAAGGCAUCAAUCUUAAAGAAAAGUCUUCUUUUUGUAGACAACCCCGAUUUCAUCAUGGUUGAAUCCCUGAUGAGACAACAGUUCAUCCUUUGUACUUCUCUCUCCCUCAUCUUUACGAGUCCUUUUCCAAGUCUAGUCCUUCUAUGAACAUUCCCAGAAGUACAUCUCUUCUCCUCCCCCCCCCUCUAGUCAGACAUCCCUCCUCUCUGCCUAGGUACGAGAAAGAGGAUUAAUUAUAGUGAAGGAGUUUUCCUGCUCCAAAUGUCGAUGCCUAGCACCACCUCAGGUAGGAGUAGCUAUUGCAAUGGAAUUCCUAUUUAGACUCCAGCUUUCCAGCCUGGAGCCUGCUCAGUGUGGAUAAAUUUUCAGUUUUAGUGCCAAAAAAAAUUCUUUGCUGAGUAUGUGCAGUGAUGCUUCAGAAGCUUAUGCUUGGUCAGAUUUGUUUCUAUGGAAAAGCUGUCCAAAAGGAAAACUGCUGAUGCAAAAUCAACAUCCUGCCAAAUUCCAAGGCCAGAACAUGGGGGUACUAGAACUUUUCAGUGACUUUUUUUUUUUUUUUUCAUGUGAGCACAACUAUAUAUUUUUUCCCUAAUCUUGAUCUUCAGAACAAUAGAGCUACUUUUACUGAAACUAUCUCAAACAAAUCAGCCUGAGGCAGACACCUGGUAUGAAAAAUUUCAGCCCAAAGUGUUAGUUUGGCAAAGUCAUAAGCAACUUAAUACUGGUUCUCAGAAUGGGAUAUCUUGCGACUUGAAGUGCUACCAUGACUUAAUCCUGAAAACACUUACACAUUUGAGUUGCUGUUCAUGUGAAUAAUUAAACUUAAUCCCAAACUAAUCAUUUGUGUUCUACAGAUUUUAGAAGCCAACUUUUUUUUUUUUUUCUUUAUGUAAGGACUUCAUAGGUGUAUGAAAAAUGAAUUCGUUUUCUUGGUGGUUUUGUAUGCAAGAUGCUAAAAUAGUAAAUACAGGCUGUUUAUCUGUUUAUUUAACAACAUUUAAGUAGACUUCCCUGAUCAUAGCACAAGAGCACCUUGAAUUAUUUUUUUCUAACUUUGAACCCAGUUCUGAAAGGUGUUGUAGGAACUGUUUAAGAAAUACUAUUUCCUGAGAUACUCAGGGUAUGGACAGGCAUUCAGUAUAAAACUAGAGGCAUGGAGGCAUUGUAAGCUGGAGGGCUACCAAGUUUUUUCUUGGAGGCAGUCUCUCUAGCCAGGAAAUGAUAGAGAUGGAUACUCCUUGGGUACCCUCACCCCAAGAGGAUCUAGAUUAAUGACGGUCUGCUAGGGAAGGUUGUCUAUAAUGUGCUGGCAGAGCCCCCAGCUUCCCAGCUCUGCUAGCCCAGGCAGGGGACACAGCUGCCUGGUUCUACUGAUCACCCACUCUGGUUAGUAGAAGACGGAUUGGAUCUCUGUUGGCUACAGACUGAGACAGAAUCACAGUGGCCUAGCUGAUCGGUGGAACUGGGCAGGGGCAUAACUGUCAUUGCAGCAGCAGGGUCAUCACUGGGUGGGCUAGCAGGGAGCCAGCCACUCUCCACUGAAGUGGGAAAGUGGGGACUCUUGAGAUGCUAGGGGGUUCUGGAACCCCCCCAUAGUGCUAUACAUAACUGUGCAGGUGUUAUACACAGCACUACAAAUGCCAAUGUCUUUUUAGUACUACAUCUUGAACAGCUGUACGCUUAAUUGUUGUAGUGCUAUGAGGGCAUAUAUGGUGCUAACACUUGUCAGUGGCCUAAGUUAGUCAAGAUCUCCAUGGGUGUAUAAAGCAGCUCUCUGAGAUGGCCAAGGAAUAAACCUCUCAUUACAGUAGAUGCAAUGAUGAUCCAGGUUUGUGCUUCUUGUGUAGAGCUGGACAAGGUGCUGCCACUUCUCCAACCACCAAGUCAGAUGAGUCCCAUGACCCAUUUUUCUUGCUUAUAGAGGGGUUUAUAGAGGGAAAGAGGCUGGUUCAAACCUGUGGAGGAUGCCAAGGAGCCAGAGCCUCAACCUGGUAAGUGCUGCCUUCCAUUUGUAUUAUUUUAAUAAUGCUUUGUAAAAGAGACAUCUUGUAUGGAUGGCCAGUCAGCUUUCUUUUUGCAUUUUAGUAAAUUAUGGAGUAUUUGGAUGGCUCUUUCAAAACUAUGGUCUUUUUCUUCCUGCUGAAGCGUUAUUGCUGGGUCAAAGCGUUUUUCAGGGUGGAGAGGCAAGUGUCACGAGCAUUCUCCUUGGAGCUGAUGGGUGGUAUUUGAGGGCCUGAGUAUAUAAUUUACACCUUUCUUGGUGUUUGGGAUGACUACUGUUUUUUAUUUUUUGUUUGUGAGUAUGGUGGUCUUCAGUAACCUGCAACGCAAACCCCCACUGACUCACCCCUGGUUGUCAUGUGCCAUCCCACCCUGAAACUGAUAAGGAUCCUCAAUUAUAGCCUACAGUUGAAAAAGAUCAGAACUUGAGAGAAAUAUUCCCAGCUUUCCUGCUUUCAAGCAACCUGUGAACCUGGCCCAACUCAUGGUCAGAAGCAACUCCCAGUUGAUCUACUUGUAUCUAAUGGAACAUUCAUGCCUUGAAGAAAUUUAAAACCUGUCAAUUCAUCUCAACUGCUACCAUACUAAACACUCCCCACAACCAUCAGGAUCCAUGGAUCCUACGCAUGGCUGUCCCAGAAUGUGGUAUAUCUCAUCCAGCAUACCAAAUGCCCUCAUUGAAACUAUGUGGGUGAAACUAGGCAAAAACAACACUGCAGAAUGAACAAAUUCAGGAAAAAGUUAAAGGACGGAGACACGUAGACACAGAUAGGAGAGCAUGUUUCGUAAAACAACUGCUUUCUCACCUUGCAAUUCUCAUGCUCAAAUGAAGUUUACAAAACGCCUUCAGAAGAUGGGCCUGAGACCUAACGUUCCUAAUUUGUUUUACCGGACAUCAAAACCAGGGAUUAAAUAUAGACACUGACUUCAUGGCUUAUCAAAAUCUACCUUCAACUCUGCACUCUACAACCUUCUUCCCCCCUGAAGGAUCUUGCUCUUUCACUUACCAGUUUAUCCUUCCUAGUGCCAUUCUCUUGUCUUUUCCCUAACCACGAUAAUAUCUCCGCUCUUUUUAUAGCUCUGCUCUAUUCCUUUAGGCAGGCUGUUUUAUUUACAUAUAGAGAUUUUUCACAGGUUAUUGCCCUACUUGUUACUUAGAAGCAGACACAGCUUGAGCUUUCUCAGAUGUAAAGCAGAGUACUUUGUGUUCAAAAACUUGUCUGAAAUCUCUCCCAGCCAUCCAGUAAAAGAUACUGUAUUUAUUUGAUUCCAAGAUAAGGUUUUAAUAUGCAGGAAAAAAAAACUCCUCCUCUUCAAUUGAUUAUGAGGUGGCAACUGCUAUGGCUCUGGCCCCAACCCUGGGGCACCCCACAGCUGCCUUGGGCCCUGCCCCCCCAUCUCCUUUCCCAGACCCAUCUUCCUCAUACCAUCUGUGCAUUCCAGCAUCCUCAGGCCCCUUCUGCCCCACCCCUCACCUUUUGUUUUCCAUUUAUCUUUGCUCCAGUGCUGGCUGGCUCUUUCUGCUUCGGCCAGGCCCUGUAGCAGCAGUGUAGGCUCCCUGCCACUGCUAUGGGGCCAGACUAGAGCUGUAGCCCUGUGCCUCGGGCUGAAGCAGGGAUGGAAUCUGCUGCUGUUGGAGUAAGGGCACUACAAGAUCCGAGUACCUAGCCACACCUAUCUUCAGCACGUAGAUGAUGAUGUAGUAAUGGGUUAAAAGGAAGCAUGUCAUGGAUGACGUAUCCAAAAUGUAAAGCAGAGGAAUGAAAUGCUCUGAACCAUUGUGUAAAUAGGCUGAGUAAGAGCAGGAUCAGAAAAAGUACUUGGCAUAGGGGGAGCAGAAUCUUUGGAGAGAGGUUAUGAAGAAGGCAGUACUUCAUACAAUAGAACUUCAACAAUAUUUAUGAUGGUGUUGAAUAAGUGCAAAUGCCCACACUCAAGAGAGUUCCUAUAAAGUUUGGUGCUCAUGCUAACUAUGCUCACAGGGUAAGCUUAUGCUGUUGGACAGACCCUGCUACUGGUGAUGGCACUAAUACAGAUGCAAGCAUAAGCACGUUUUGUUUGUUUGUUUGUUUGUUUGUUUUGUUUUUUUUCCCCCCACACCAGUGCCUCUUCAAAUUCUCCAUAAGGUGCUGGGACUGCUUCAUGACAUUGUUCUUCUGGUGUCUUCUUAUACAUGAAGUUGACCAGCAGAUAGCAUAAUAAGUUAAAAAGGUGGUCUCUUAGGACUGGAACCAAGCAAUCCCGUCUCAUUUUACAUGCACAAAAAGGUAUAGAAGUGAGUAAAGAGGAUGGGUUGUCUGUUGUUGUGUGUGUUGUUUUUUUUUUUUGUUUUGUUUUUUUGGUUUUUUUUUAAGUGUAGGGGGGAAAAUUGUUAAUUUGUUUAUGCAUAUUGUUCUGCAAUAUUUAAAUAGAAUUUGUUUGCUGUUGAUAGGCAGCCAUACUUGUUAAGUUAUUAAUUAUUCAUGUUUGUGACUUUUUAAUAAAGUUCACUGUUGUUUGAAAUGCC